GACGAACGCUGGCGGCGUGCUUAACACAUGCAAGUCGAACGGAAAGGCCCUGCUUUUGUGGGGUGCUCGAGUGGCGAACGGGUGAGUAACACGUGAGUAACCUGCCCCUGACUUUGGGAUAACUUCAGGAAACUGGGGCUAAUACCGGAUAGGAGCUCCUGCUGCAUGGUGGGGGUUGGAAAGUUUCGGCGGUUGGGGAUGGACUCGCGGCUUAUCAGCUUGUUGGUGGGGUAGUGGCUUACCAAGGCUUUGAAGGGUAGCCGGCCUGAGAGGGUGACCGGCCACAUUGGGACUGAGAUACGGCCCAGACUCCUACGGGAGGCAGCAGUGGGGAAUAGUGCACAAUGGGCGGAAGCCUGAUGCAGCAACGCCGCGUGCGGGAUGACGGCCUGCGGGUUGUAAACCGCUGUCGCCUGUGACGAAGCGUGAGUGACGGUAAUGGGUAAAGAAGCACCGGCUAACUACGUG
rnacentral:rRNA from 1 species